UACGAAGGGGGCUAGCGUUGUUCGGAUUUACUGGGCGUAAAGAGCUCGUAGGCGGCUUGUCGCGUCGGCUGUGAAAGCCCGGAGCUCAACUCCGGGUCUGCAGUCGAUACGGGCAGACUUGAGUGUUGCAGGGGAGACUGGAAUUCCUGGUGUAGCGGUGAAAUGCGCAGAUAUCAGGAGGAACACCGGUGGCGAAGGCGGGUCUCUGGGCAACAACUGACGCUGAGGAGCGAAAGCGUGGGGAGCGAACAGG
rnacentral:rRNA from 1 species